AUUGAACGCUGGCGGCAGGCCUAACACAUGCAAGUCGAGCGAGCGGCGGACGGGUGAGUAAUGCUUGGGAAUCUGGCUUAUGGAGGGGGAUAACUACGGGAAACUGUAGCUAAUACCGCGUACCAUAGGAUGAACCCAUAUGGGAUUAGCUAGUAGGUAGGGUAAAGGCUCACCAAGCCGACGAUCCCUAGCUGGUCUGAGAGGAUGAACAGCCACACUGGGACUGAGACACGGCCCAGACGCCUACGGGAGGCAGCAGUGGGGAAUAUUGCGCAAUGGGGGCAACCUGACGCAGCCAUGCCGCGUGAAUGAAGAAGGCCUUCGGGUUGUAAAGUUCUUUCGGUAGGGAGGCGUUACCGACAGAAGAAGCACCGGCUAACUCCGUGCCAGCAGCCGCGGUAAUUC
rnacentral:rRNA from 1 species